rnacentral:tRNA from 1 species
AUUUAAGUAGUUUAGGUAAAAUACUGAUUUGUGGUGUCAGUGAAGUUAGAAAUAGCCUUAAGUA